rnacentral:rRNA from 1 species
UACGAGGCGGCAAGCAGUGUUGGUGAAUUAUUGGGCGUAAAGCGCGUGUAGGCGGCUUUGCAAGUCGGGUGUGAAAGCCCUCAGCUUAACUGAGGAAGUGCGCCCGAAACUGCAGAGCUUGAAUACCGGAGAGGAUGGCGGAAUUCCCCAAGUAGAGGUGAAAUUCGUAGAUAUGGGGAGGAACACCGGUGGCGAAGGCGCCAUCUGGACGGCUAUUGACGCUGAGGCGCGAAAGCUAGGGGAGCAAACGGG